GUCAGUGUGGCUUAGUGGAUAGAGUAUUGGACUAGAACCUGGGAGACCAGAGUUCAAAUCCCUACACAGCCUUGAAGCUGACU